rnacentral:tRNA from 1 species
UGUUAUGAGGCUUAGUUGGUUACGGCGCCGGACUAGCGAUAACGGAGUCGUGGGUUUAAAUCCCACCUAAACAA